UCUUUGUUUUAUUCCGUCUAAAAAUGUUAAAGUAGAUCAAGUAAUCGCAUUUUGUUGUUUUACGUACUACGCCUAUACUGACAAACUACUUUGAACAACUCGUACCGCUAGAUGGCGCUGCUAAAACCGUUGCCGCUUCAUUGUAUGGGAAACGUCACAAGUUGCACGUAUUAACUCGUAGAGUUUAUAUAGUA